AGAGUUUGAUCCUGGCUCAGGAUGAACGCUAGCGGCAGGCCUAAUACAUGCAAGUCGAACGGUAGCGGCCCUCGGGGCCGCGAGAGUGGCGGACGGGUGCGUAACGCGUAUGCAACAACCCCCGACGGGCGGAUAGCCGGUGGAAACGCCGGAUAAGCCGCCAUGCGGCCGACGAGGGGCAUCCCUUGUUGGUCAAAGCGGAGACGCGGUGGGGGACGGGCAUGCGUCCCAUUAGAUAGUUGGCGGGGCGACGGCCCACCAAGUCGACGAUGGGUAGGGGAUCUGAGAGGACGGUCCCCCCACACUGGUACUGAGACACGGACCAGACUCCUGCGGGAGGCAGCAGUAAGGGAUAUUGGUCAAUGGUCGGAAGACUGAACCAGCCCAUGCCGCGUGAGGUAGGAAGGCCCUACGGGUCGUAAGCCUCUUUUACCCGGGGACAAGGGCGCCCACGCGAUGGGUGCUUGAGGGUACCGGGGGAAUAAGCGUCGGCUAACUCCGUGCCAGCCGCUGC
rnacentral:rRNA from 1 species